AUUGAACGCUGGCGGCAUGCCUAACACAUGCAAGUCGAGCGGAUGAAGGGAGCUUGCUCCUGGAUUCAGCGUGGCACGGGUGAGUGAUGUCUAUGAGUCUGCCUGCUGUUGGGGGAUAACGCCCGGAGACGGGCGCUAAUACAGCAUACGUCCUGUGCGAGAAAGAGGGGGAUCUUCGGACCUCACGCUCUCAGAUGAGCCUAGGUCGGAUUAGCUAGUUGGUGGGGUAAAGGCCUACCAAGGCGACGAUCCGUAACUGGUCUGAGAGGAUGAUCAGCCACACUGGAACUGAGACACGGUCCAGACUCCUACGGGAGGCAGCAGUGGGGAAUAUUGGACAAUGGGCGAAAGCCUGAUCCAGCCAUGCCGCGUGUGUGAAGAAGGUCUUCGGAUUGUAAAGCACUUUUAGUUGGGAGGAAGGGCAGUAAGUUAAUACCUUGCUGUUUUGACGGUACCAGCAGAAUAAGCACCGGCUAACUACGUG
rnacentral:rRNA from 1 species